rnacentral:rRNA from 1 species
AGUGAACGCUGGCGGUAGGCCUAACACAUGCAAGUCGAACGGCAGCACAGGAGAGCUUGCUCUCUGGGUGGCGAGUGGCGGACGGGUGAGGAAUACAUCGGAAUCUACUCUGUCGUGGGGGAUAACGUAGGGAAACUUACGCUAAUACCGCAUACGACCUACGGGUGAAAGCAGGGGACCUUCGGCCCUUGCGCGAUGGAAUGAGCCGAUGUCGGAUUAGCUAGGUGGCGGGGUAAAGGCCCACCAAGGCGACGGUCCGUAGCUGGUCUGAGAGGAUGAUCAGCCACACUGGAACUGAGACACGGUCCAGACUCCUACGGGAGGCAGCAGUGGGGAAUAUUGGACAAUGGGCGCAAGCCUGAUCCAGCCAUACCGCGUGGGUGAAGAAGGCCUUCGGGUUGUAAAGCCCUUUUGUUGGGAAAGAAAUCCAGCUGGCUAAUACCCGGUUGGGAUGACGGUACCCAAAGAAUAAGCACCGGCUAACUUCGUGCCAGCCGCCGCCGUAA